rnacentral:rRNA from 1 species
CCUACGGGUGGCUGCAGUGGGGAAUAUUGGACAAUGGGGGGAACCCUGAUCCAGCCAUGCCGCGUGUGUGAAGAAGGCCCUCGGGUUGUAAAGCACUUUCAGUGAGGAAGAACGCCUGGUGGUUAAUACCCAUCAGGAAAGACAUCACUCACAGAAGAAGCACCGGCUAACUCCGUGCCAGCAGCCGCGGUAAUACGGAGGGGGCGAGCGUUAAUCGGAAUUACUGGGCGUAAAGCGCGCGUAGGUGGCUUGAUAAGCCGGUUGUGAAAGCCCCGGGCUCAACCUGGGAACGGCAUCCGGAACUGUCAAGCUAGAGUGCAGGAGAGGAAGGUAGAAUUCCCGGUGUAGAGGUGAAAUGCGUAGAGAUCGGGAGGAAUACCAGUGGCGAAGGCGGCCUUCUGGACUGACACUGACACUGAGGUGCGAAAGCGUGGGUAGCAAACAGGAUUAGAUACCCCGGUAGUC